GGACGAACGCUGGCGGCGUGCCUAAUACAUGCAAGUCGAGCGGACUUGAUGGAGAGCUUGCUCUCCUGAUGGUUAGCGGCGGACGGGUGAGUAACACGUAGGCAACCUGCCUGCAAGACCGGGAUAACCCACGGAAACGUGAGCUAAUACCGGAUAUCUCAUUUCCUCUCCUGAGGGRAUGAUGAAAGACGGAGCAAUCUGUCACUUGCGGAUGGGCCUGCGGCGCAUUAGCUAGUUGGUGAGGUAACGGCUCACCAAGGCGACGAUGCGUAGCCGACCUGAGAGGGUGAACGGCCACACUGGGACUGAGACACGGCCCAGACUCCUACGGGAGGCAGCAGUAGGGAAUCUUCCGCAAUGGGCGAAAGCCUGACGGAGCAACGCCGCGUGAGUGAUGAAGGUUUUCGGAUCGUAAAGCUCUGUUGCCAGGGAAGAACGUCCGRUAGAGUAACUGCUAYCGGAGUGACGGUACCUGAGAAGAAAGCCCCGGCUAACUAC
rnacentral:rRNA from 1 species